UACGGGGGGGGCAAGCGUUGUUCGGAAUUACUGGGCGUAAAGGGCGCGUAGGCGGCCUGCUAAGUCGGACGUGAAAUCCCUCGGCUCAACCGAGGAACUGCGUCCGAUACUGGUGGGCUUGAAUCCGGGAGAGGGAUGUGGAAUUCCAGGUGUAGCGGUGAAAUGCGUAGAUAUCUGGAGGAACACCGGUGGCGAAGGCGGCAUCCUGGACCGGCAUUGACGCUGAGGCGCGAAAGCUAGGGGAGCAAACGGG
rnacentral:rRNA from 1 species